UACAGAGGGGGUAAGCGUUGUUCGGAAUUACUGGGCGUAAAGGGCGCGUAGGCGGCCUUCUAAGUCGAACGUGAAAUCCCCGGGCUCAACCCGGGAACUGCGUCCGAUACUGGAAGGCUUGAAUCCGGGAGAGGGAUGCGGAAUUCCAGGUGUAGCGGUGAAAUGCGUAGAUAUCUGGAGGAACACCGGUGGCGAAGGCGGCAUCCUGGACCGGUAUUGACGCUGAGGCGCGAAAGCCAGGGGAGCAAACGGG
rnacentral:rRNA from 1 species